rnacentral:rRNA from 1 species
GAUGAACGCUAGCUACAGGCUUAACACAUGCAAGUCGAACGGUAACAGGCCGCAAGGUGCUGACGAGUGGCGAACGGGUGAGUAAUGCAUCGGAACGUGCCCAGUCGUGGGGGAUAACGCAGCGAAAGCCGCGCUAAUACCGCAUACGAUCUAUGGAUGAAAGCGGGGGACCGUAAGGCCUCGCGCGAUUGGGGCGGCCGAUGUCAGAUUAGGUAGUUGGUGGGGUAAAGGCUCACCAAGCCAACGAUCUGUAGCUGGUCUGAGAGGACGACCAGCCACACUGGGACUGAGACACGGCCCAGACUCCUACGGGAGGCAGCAGUGGGGAAUUUUGGACAAUGGGCGCAAGCCUGAUCCAGCAAUGCCGCGUGCAGGAAGAAGGCCUUCGGGUUGUAAACUGCUUUUGUACGGAACGAAACGGUCCUGGUUAAUACCCGGGGCUAAUGACGGUACCGUAAGAAUAAGCACCGGCUAACUACGUGCCAGCCGCCGCAGUAA